rnacentral:rRNA from 1 species
GGACUACUAGGGUUUCUAAUCCUGUUUGAUCCCCGCACUUUCGAGCCUCAGCGUCAGUUACAGCUUCGUUAGCUGCCUUCGCAAUCGGUGUUCUAUGACAUCUCUAUGUAUUUCACCACUACAUGUCAUAUUCCGCCAACGGCAACUGUACUCAAGCCCUACAGUAUCAAUGGCAAUUUCCCGGUUAAGCCGGGAGAUUUCACCACUGACUUAUAAGGCCGCCUACGCUCCCUUUAAACCCAAUGAAUCCGGAUAACGCUUGCAUCCUUCGUCUUACCGCGGCUGCUGGCAC